rnacentral:lncRNA from 1 species
CCUUAGCUUCGGGAAGAGGCUGUAAUCUAACUCAUCGUCUGUUUGCUCUGAAAACCAGCGUGGACGUGCAGAGGCCGACUGGAUCACCGUCAGUAACCGUGCUGCCAGUCCGAGAAGCCAGCCCGGCCUCUGAAGCGAUCAAAAUGCAGACACCACAGCGUGAAGCAGCAGCA